rnacentral:rRNA from 1 species
GCGACCCUAGGUCAGGCGGGACUACCCGCUGAGUU